UACAGAGGGGGCAAGCGUUGUUCGGAAUUACUGGGCGUAAAGGGCGCGUAGGCGGCCUUCUAAGUCGAACGUGAAAUCCCCGGGCUCAACCCGGGAACUGCGUCCGAGAAUGGAAGGCUUGAAUCCGGGAGAGGGAUGUGGAAUUCCAGGUGUAGCGGUGAAAUGCGUAGAUAUCUGGAGGAACAUCGGUGGCGAAGGCGGCAUCCUGGACCGGUAUUGACGCUGAGGCGCGAAAGCCAGGGGAGCAAACGGG
rnacentral:rRNA from 1 species